GUCUUUUUGUAAAUAAUAUAAAGUCUAAUCUGCCCACUGAAAUUAAAUUAAAGGGCUGCAGUAUAUUGACUGUACAAAGGUAGCAUAAUCAUUAGUCUUUUAAUUGAAGACUUGUAUGAAUGAUUUAAUGAAAUAUAAACUGUUUCUAUUUUAAAUUUAGAAUUUAAUUUUUUAGUCAAAAAGCUUAAAUAAUUAUAAAAGACGAGAAGACCCUAUAGAGUUUUAUAAUUAUUUAAUUAUAAUUUAUUUAUAAAAAUUAAAUUUUAUAAUUAAAUGAUUAUUUUGUUGGGGUGAUAAAAAAAUAAAAAUAACUUUUUUUAAAAAUUAACAUUAAUAUAUGAAUAUUUGAUCCAUAAUUUAUGAUUAGAAGAAUAAAUUACCUUAGGGAUAACAGCGUAAUUUUUUUUUUUAGUUCAUAUAAAAAAUAAAGUUUGCGACCUCGAUGUUGGAUUAAGAUAAAAUUUAAAUGCAAAAGUUUAAAGUUU
rnacentral:rRNA from 1 species